AUGCUUAAUCUAUAAAUUUGUUUUUUAAAAUGUAAAAGGUAUAUUGGUAAAUUAAUUAAAAUGAUUUCCUUUCUUUUUUUCCCUAUUAUUCUUUUUUUUUCAUUAAUUAACCCGAUAAGAAUAUAUAACUUUCCUUUCAUCUCCUUUCCUUUCUUUUCCCUCGUAACAAAUGUUAUGCUUAAAACUAGACAGAGACGAAAAAUUGAAAUCGCCGUCUUGGAGAAGAGAGAGAUGUCUAAUUGGAAGGGUUUUGGUGAUCGGUUGCUGCAUUGCCGCCUGUCUAUGCUUAAAACAUGGGGCAAUUGUUCCAAUUCGGCGGCCAGAUUUUACCACUCCACAUGCGGUGGUGGUGGUAGUGGUAAGGGUGGUGGUUUUCUCUCUCCCGUCCGAUCAUCAGAGUAUUUUCUUCGUCUUGGAGGCAGAUCGGUCGGAGGCGUUGAAAAAAGGUGCGACCUUCUCGUCAAUCCAACCUCAUUUUUUUUCUUCUUGUGCUAAAGCAACAACAGAUGUAGUAGUAGUAGUUGAAGAGGAGGCACGAGGACCCCUCCCUCUUCAAUCGGCACCGUGGCUCAUGCUACCGGCUGGAUGUGGGUUGGUUGCUGAAGGCGACAGCGGAAGGUACAAGCUUGAGGCGAAGGACGGCGAGAGGGAUUACUACCGGUUCUUUAGCCUUAGGGAGAAGAAAGUGGUGAAGAUGAAGACGAAUCUUAUGCUUCCAUGGCAAAGGGAAUUACUUUCCCCCGACGAGGCCAUCUGCUUCGGUUCGUCUCGUGGCUGGCUCGCCUUUAUCCACUCUCGCAAUUCCUCUCUCUAUUUUUUCAACCCUUCCAUUCACUCUUAUCUCCCUUACCUCCCCCUCCCUCCUAUCCAAACCCUCCCUUCUUUCAUCUCAUCAUCACGCCACAAUUCCAAUAUGCACUCACCAUCUUAUUCUUCUUCAUCCAUAAAUUAUAAUGAUAUUGUUACCGAGUUUAUGUUGUGGAAUAACUACUCGCCCAUAUCAUCUCAAGAUCUGAAUAAGGAGGAGGUUUUCUUUAAGAAGAUUGUUUUAUCCUCAGCCCCGUCCCCAUUCCCUUCCAAUCAUCAUCUUCAUAUUGAAAACACCAAUAAUAAUAGUAAUAAUAAUAAUAAUGAGGAGAGUACUUGUUCUUGUGAUUGCACUGUUAUGGCCAUCCAAGGUUACAAGCAAUACAAACUCGCCUUCUGCAAAAUUGGGGAUACUUCAUGGACUGCCUUAAAUGGAGCAGCAACAGGAUACAAUGAUGUCAUCUAUUUCAGCAUGGAACAAACUUUUUAUGCCUUCUCCCACAGUGAUGAAAUUAUAGAAGCUUGGUAUCUCAGUAACCCUGCCUCUCCAAAGAAUACUAGCAUUAUUUCUCAUUUGCCUCCUUGGGUACACCCCACAAUGGACGAACACCAAAGCCUGCUCAGACGUGUUUGGGAUCCCGAUCAUUAUCUAGUGGAGUCUUCCGGUGAGUUGUUGAUGGUUGUUAGGUACUAUAAGGAUGGUAAACAGAUAAAGACCAUUCUAUUUGAUGUGUAUAAGCUAGACUUUGUUAACAAGGAGUGGCUACUCUUGCCAAGUCUGGGCAACAGGGCACUAUUUGUCGGCCUUAACGACUCUGUCUCUGUCUCUGCCUCUGAUUUCCCCGGGUUGGCCAUGAAUUGUAUUUACUUCACUAAUCCUGGCAAACUCCCCGAAGACUUUCACGAUUUGGGUAUCUUCAACUUGGAAGAUAACACCAUCACUCCAAUUUAUGAUUAUGACUUGAAGAUUCAACUGCCUUCUAUCUGGAUUGUCCCACCUCAGCAAUGAAGAAAAAUGGAGCCCGCCUCUGUUAAACAGGUCAUUUACUUUGGACGCAACAACCUACUAAAUUUUGUCAAACCCUAUACGUGAUUGUCCUUGCUCGCCGCUCCUCACAGCUUAACCCCGCUCGGAUCGGAGUCUCCGUCGACCAUUGAACCAGACUAUUGGUAGCUAUUUCUUUCUCUGACUCUAUCUCUCUUUCUUUUUCACUCUUUGUUCAGUUUUUAUUUUUAUUUUUUAUAUUAUGUAUGUUGAUUUUUUUUUUAAUUAUUAUUAUUAUUUUGUUGAUGUUACUAGCCAAUGAGAUUGUGUAUUAUUUUGAUUUUUCCUUUUCUUCUUUUUCAAUCCGAAAUUAUGCAGAUUGUGUAUUCUUCUUGACUCUCCACUGCUAUAUUCUAAUUUUUCUUUGUAUUUGUUGUGAAUUUUUCAUAGGUAUUUGUUUGUUUAGAAAUCUAAAUUUUUCAUGGUCAUCUUUUCAUAGUGUAGAGAUGAGAGAGAGAGAGAAAGAGGAAGUUGAGAGAAACCCAUUUCACUUCUUGGGUGGUCUCCUAUUAGGGUUAUAGUUGUGACAAUUUUAAGGGUUGUUCUUACUUUUAAAUCUAUACUGAUAUAUUAUUUUAUUCAGAUUUUGCAUGCUUUCUUUGCCAGUUAGUCAUUAUGAACUUGAGUUAUUUUCACUUCAAAUUCUUCUACUUUCUGUUAUAUUAUUAUGAUUUUAUGCUAGGAUAAGUUGUGAAUGCAAGGUCCUUUUGUUUUUUCCUUCGUGUUUCUAUUUGGUAAGAUGUGAAUGAAAAUGCUUGUAAAUAUUUAAGUCAAUUUUCAGUAAUUUCUUCACACGUUUAAAUUUUGUUCAUUUAGUAUAGGUUUAUUCCUUGCAAGAUAAAAAGCUAAAUGGCAUGAGUAGUAUUGGAAAAGAAACCGGGAAGUCCAAAGAGAAAGUGUGACUGAGAGAUUAAAGAUCUUGUUUGAAGACAUACCGAAAUUGUUGGAAGUUCAUUUCAAGAAAAACUAAGUGAUAUUGUGGAUGUGUUAACUUUCACCUCAACGUAAACUUUUUUCUGCUUUGCAAAUCUGAUUUUGUGGUUCGACUUCUGGCUAAGGUGAUCAAUUGUGGGCCUUUGUCUGCUGGCUAUGGUUAUCAGUAUUAAGUGAUAGAAAAACUAAGUGAUAUUGUGGAUGUUUUAACAUUCACCUUAACGAUAUUUAUUUAUUUUUUAUUUUCUCCUUUGCAGAUCUGAUUUUGUACUUCUGGCUAUGAUUAUAAAAUUGGGAGUUUCGUUUA